GGAAGUAAAAGUCGUAACAAGGUUUCCGUAGGUGAACCUGCGGAAGGAUCAUUAUCGAAAUACUUAUUUAGCGUUCCGUGCUAUCCCAUUGUUUUAUUUACCCUGUUGCUUCCACUGGAUGAGUCUCCAUACCUUGUGUUUGAGAAACUUUGGCUUGUGUAAGAUUCAUUCACGGCCAGCCAGUGAGAAGACCAUUUACAAAACCCUGUUAAGAACCAAUUGUCUGAAUAUUUUACUCCAAUGAAAUAAAACUUUCAACAACGGAUCUCUAGGCUCUU
rnacentral:misc_RNA from 1 species